UUUGUGAAUUGUCUGAUUGUUCAGGGUGAUCCAGGGAAAGCAGGAGAGACGGGAUCAUCAGGUGCUCCAGGACAAAGAGGACCUAAUGGGAAAGAUGGAGAAGAAGGACCAGCAGGAACUACAGGACCUCCUGGUGUAGCAGGAAAGAGAGGGGAACAGGGACCUCCUGGACUAACAGGCUUUCAAG